GACGGCGGUGUUUGGCACCUCGAUGUCGGCUCAUCACAUCCUGGGGCUGAAGUAGGUCCCAAGGGUAUGGCUGUUCGCCAUUUAAAGUGGUACGCGAGCUGGGUUUAGAACGUCGUGAGACAGUUCGGUCCCUAUCUGCCGUGGGCGCUGGAGAACUGAGGGGGGCUGCUCCUAGUACGAGAGGACCGGAGUGGACGCAUCACUGGUGUUCGGGUUGUCAUGCCAAUGGCACUGCCCGGUAGCUAAAUGCGGAAGAGAUAAGUGCUGAAAGCAUCUAAGCACGAAACUUGCCCCGAGAUGAGUUCUCCCUGACUCCUUGAGAGUCCUGAAGGAACGUUGAAGACGACGACGUUGAUAGGCCGGGUGUGUAAGCGCAGCGAUGCGUUGAGCUAACCGGUACUAAUGAACCGUGAGGCUUAACCUUACAACGCCGAAG
rnacentral:rRNA from 1 species